rnacentral:miRNA from 1 species
CUUCCAGUCGACGAGGUACAUGUACCUCGUCGACUGGAAGGAUUUCCUUCCAGCUGUCGAGGUACAUGUACCUCGCCGGCUGGAAG